CAUUCGCGGUCUACGUGGGCCGGGUCCUCCGAAGUCCCGGUAGGCCGGAAGUGAGCGGCUGUGAAAUUGGACGGUCUAGCCUUCAGUUUUGCGUCAUCAGAUGUCUCGGUGGAGUUAAAUAAACUCAGCCGUCUGCUCCUUUCUGUCUAGAAUAUAACAGGACACUGGCGUAAAUUUUCGAUCAUCUCAGACUUCUGUUUAAUCGGUUUUCUGUUUGACGUUUAUUCAGAUGUGUGAAAACUAUAACUUUAAGCAAUUUUAGCACGGUAGCUAGCAAACUAGGAAAAUUCCUGUUCAAAAAGUCAUAAAAGAGUGUUAGCCAGCAUAAAAAGAACAUUUCCCUGUAUUUAGAAAAGUUACAUCUUGGUGAGCUUACCUGCUCUAACACACACACAACACAGCUUUGGAACACUAUGCCAAUUUAGUACUUGUUUGCUUUCACAUUUUCGCGAAGCUUUCGCGUUUCAGUAUGGGAAUUUCUGGCAGCAUUUGAAGGCAACACUGUUGUGAAGCUUCUCGUUUCCAAUGGUAACCAAGAAGUACCCAGGGACUAACACAUUCAGCGCAAAGACACAACAACAACACAAAAAACGUUCUUACUUUAAAUUAGUUUCUUUUUAUACAUUGUUAUAAAUGGAUUUUAACCGUUCUUCGUGUUGGAAUUCAAUUUUGGAGAAAGUUAAACCAAAUAUUCCUACCAUGGACUUUGACCUUUCACCUCCAGAGAAAGAUGAAAUCAUCGCUGUAUAUGAAAGACCAGCUGCUCUUUCCCUGAAGCUUCCUGAGGACUUCAACAGUUUUUCAGUAGAUGCUGAAUUUGAGGAGCUCCCAAAACCAUUAUCUGAAGAGAUCUGCAAAAAGAUGGAUGCUAGUGAAACUGUAGAAAGCAGUACAUUAGCCUGUGUGAAU